GAAGGCCCUUAUCGAAGCCAUUUCAGUUUAGUCACUAAUGUGGUAAAAAAAGGAGCUAAUAUUGAACCUUUUCAUGAUUUGCUGCUAAGUGUAUAUGUACCUAAUUAGCAAUAUUGAGAGGACACUU